rnacentral:rRNA from 1 species
UACGUAGGGUCCGAGCGUUGUCCGGAAUUACUGGGCGUAAAGAGCUCGUAGGUGGUUUGUCGCGUUGUUCGUGAAAACUCACAGCUCAACUGUGGGCGUGCGGGCGAUACGGGCAGACUUGAGUACUGCAGGGGAGACUGGAAUUCCUGGUGUAGCGGUGGAAUGUGCAGAUAUCAGGAGGAACACCGGUGGCGAAGGCGGGUCUCUGGGCAGUAACUGACGCUGAGGAGCGAAAGCGUGGGGAGCGAACAGG